CAGAGAAUUCGUUCGCUGUCGCACUCAAUCCCGGAACGUCGGUGCAAUUGGUAGGUCGUGUCGUCCCAGAAAUUUUUCCAAAUUUUCCUUUUAAGGUUUUAUUUCCAAAAAGCAAUUUACUUGGACUACAGUUCUGUGCAUUUGAAGUAUUGUGGCAAAGCAAAAAAAAGGACAUAUCAAGGUGGUGUUGAAAUCUAAGCAACUACGAUUCAAUUCGAAGUGAUUAAUAAAUGAGUAAUAGUAGAACUAAAGUUACUUACUUAUGUACAUAUAAACAGUCAGACAAAUAUAAAAUAAACAUAGGUGGUCAAUCGUAUAGUGUAGUCCGUAGUCCUGUAGUAAAUUAUGGAUUCCAUCAUUUGUUAUGAUUGCUUAUCCAUUCAAAAGAACAUGGAAACAGACAUCCGUCCGCCGAACACAUUUCCUCCCCUCACCACCAAAGAUUGAAAAAUUCACAUUGUAAUCGAAUUUGCAAUUUUUUUGGCACAAAAGCCUCUCAGCAAGACGUGGGCGUAAGACGAAGGGAGGGUGCUGUAUUAUUUGUAAUAUUUUAACUGUAAAAAUUCACCAACAAAGCAAAAAAUAAACAUAUUUAUGAAGUUGUUCACAAUUUUGUGAAUUCCAAUUUUGCCUUCUCCAUAAAUGCUUCUAUAGAAAUCGCAUGUCAAAAGGUUUCCUAUCUCAUGUUUUCAAACAAACAGGAGUUGUUAAGCUUCAUGCGGCCGAGGAGAGAGGACAAAAAGAAAACACAACAAAAACUCUUCAAAUUGAUGGGGGAAAAGUGCGAAGUCCGAAUUUUUGAGGGUGGACAUCUAUAUUUUAUGUGCAUAUGUGAAUUUAUUUAUGUACAUAUGUAUACAUAUGUGAAUGUGCAUGCGGUUAACCUCGAAAUCGUCUUUAUACCAUAGAAAGAUAUUACUCAUUAGUUUUGAAAAAAUAUCAGCGGUUUUUUCGAAAAAACUCAAAAUAACGAAAAAUGCAAUACGAAUAAAUGGAAAUGCUGUUCUGCAAAAAUGUUUAAAGUUAAAAAAGAGAUUUGCAAUAACGUUCUUAACCAUAAUAUUUUAAAAUUUGUUCGCAAUAUUUUGUUACUAAAAUAUUAUGAACAAUUAAAAUUUAAUUAUCACAGAAUCAAUAUUCAGCAUUAUAGAGGGUAUACAGUCAAAUUUUAUUUUAUAAUAUUUACUUAGCGUUAAGCUUCUCUUUUGAAUUUAGCCAUCAAAGAUUUAUAAUAGAAAGAAUGCAGAUGUUCUUUGGGUUUCCCUCACUCCAUUGUAAGAAUCAUGCGUUUUUUGGAAAAAUUUUCAAAUAUUUAUUGCAAAUGAAGAGUACUUAAUAAGUAAAGAUUCUCGGAAGGUGUUUUGAUAAAAACUGCUUUUCUAAGGUUUAAAUUUGCAAAAAGAAAACACAACAAAAGUACUUCAAAUUAAGGGGUAAAAGUGCAAAGUUAAAAAAAAUCAGUUAUAAGCAGUUUCUACAACUAGAGUCGCAUGGAUCACAGCUCAACUAUGCAGACGUCUCUUUUUUCUCCACACAUGAAAGUAAUAUCUUUUGCUGUUGAUGUCCUACGAAACGUCACUUGUUAAAUUUCGAUUAGAAGCAUACUAUAGCCAUACUGAUUUAAUAAAUAUAACCAAAUAGAAGUCUAAACAACAGAUAUGCUCGUUUGUGAGCAUUGGAAGUCCAAUUAAAUAACUAAUUAAUUCUGUACUGGUAUUAAUCUGAUCUGUUUCUAACUAGUUCGAAUGUAGCCAGCAAGUUUUCUUGACCAUUUGAUGCCUCAUGCUGGGUAACUAUCGGCUGGUUUUUUGAAUGUGGAUCAUUUUAUGCGGUUACAAGGUCCACGCUCAUUUACGAUACAAAAACAAGGAUAAUUUAGUUAAUUGCUUAUAAAUAUCUGAUUAAAAUACACUGUUACUUGUGACAAACUUAUCAUAAUAACAUUGUAAAUUCGUUCAGAGACAAGUUAUUAGAUCUAAAUCAAUUAAAUUGAUAUCAAAUCGUAAAAUGCUCACAACUUGGUUUUAAGAUUAGUGCUUAAAAACUUAUAUCAGGUGCUAUUUAAUGGAUAUUAGUUCGGGAAAGAGCUUCACUAAAUAAAUUAUUGAUAUUCUCUCUCAAUAAUACUUUCAAAUGAAUAAUGCAAAAUGCUUAAUUUUUGCUAUGUACAUACAUACAUACAUAUGUAACUAUACACCAUAAGUUUGUAUGUAGUUUUGUAUGUAUGUGUUUCAACAGUAUGGAGUAGGACCAGAGCUAGGGCUAGGGCAUGAGAGGGGGCUAGAGCAAAUUUAUUAUUUAUCCUUUUGUUAGCAACUGUGUAUGUAUGUAUGGGCAAGUUGCGGUGUACAUGUGUGGACAGCUCAUUGUUAUGCCAAACAAUGCUUCGGAAAGCUGAUUUUUCAUUUUGACACAACUUGCGAAUGUGAACUAAUAGAUACAUAAAAUUGCUGUUUCUUUUUGCAUUGCAUAAUGUGUACAUACAAAUAUGGAGAUUAAUAUGUAUGUCGUUUUGUGAGAAUUGAAUUUGGAAAGUAGUAUGUACAUACAUAUGUAUGUAUGUAUGAUUGUAUGUAUGUAGUGGUAGCUAGAAAUUCAUCAUCUGGAAGAAAAAUAUGUUCUCUCAAAUUCAUGAUAUGAGCAGCUAACAGUACUCGACUCCGUGCCCGACUGUCAUUAGAGAGGGUGUAUGUGUUUCACACCCUAUGCUGGAAAACGUGAGAGAGAAAAAAAACAGUAAACUAAGGACGACCUACACGGCACAUUCUAAGCAAUAGGUGGAGCACAAUAUUGGAGCACAGACUGGUACUACUCUCUGUGAUACAGUGGUCCUGAAUUGAUAGCUACAGAAACCUUGUCUCAAUAUUAAAAACACAAUGAACAAAUUGUCAUUGGAACGCUUUUCUUCAGGAUUAUCAAAUAUCAAAAUUUACAUGCAAGAACCGAGACAAGAUUGAGUUUUUGAAGAUGCGAGCAGCCUGUAAACUUCACAGUGUGGAUCUAUAGCCUACAGGACACGAAUGCAUUUAGUAGCCUCCGAGCCUACAUUGCCGUAUAAUUCGCUGUAUCACAAUCAUUCCGCAUUUGCGGAUCUAAAUUGCCACAAGAUGAGGAAUAACUGCCGCCCAUAAAUAUAAGCGUACACGCGUAAACACUUUCACAUAAAUACAUUCAUAUCUAUCUAAGUACAUAUGUACAUGUAUGUAUGCGUUAUAUUUUUUUAGCUCGACGCAAUUCAAUAUUUUCUCAAUCCAUUCAUAAAUCACCAUUAAAACGGCAAUUUUUGUCACUUGCUGAAUCAAGAAAGCUAUAAACGUCGCAAAUAAGAUGAAACGAAACAAAGCUAAAUAAAUUCGAUUGCCCUAUAAAGCCCAUUAAAUCAAAUUAGCUUAAAAAGUAAGCGUUGUUUGAGAUUUAUUUCCAGGGCCACAUUAUUCCUCCUGUUAGGCGUUAGUCCAUUAUAACUGCUCAUAACUCACAACGGUAAUCCUUUGAAAGGACAUCGAAGUUGUGAUACUUCUCCCACAAAUGACCAUAAAAAUGCAAUUAGAGGUAAAUCAUUGCCUGCAUAUUUCGUUUACGAAAAACAAAACACUCAGAAACACGAGGUGUGUGAGGCGACUAUGGCGAAGCAUUACAAGUUAGAUUGCGUUGCUUCACUUUUUACUAAACUGAAAAUAAUUUAAAACUUCGACCACAUAACAAUUUCGAUAAAAGAUUAAAGGUAAAGAAUUUCCUAACACAGAAUUUUCCAUAUUCCAUCUAUAAGGCCCAAAGCGUAAUAUCCAAACAAAUUUAACAUAAAUCAAAAGCUCCCCAAACACCAGUUUAGCAACAUUACAAUUUUAGUACAGAUAUUGUCCGAAAUCUAUCCAUGGGAAAACUUAGCAACUUUCUCGCAUAUGUAUGUAUAAAUGUACCUAUGUAUGUACAUACAUAAUAUCACAUCUAUCACACUUACUCAAAGGUGCAUACAUAUGUAUGUACACUCGAAUUGUGUAGCAUACCUUUCGAGAACAUGCUAAAUGGCAUUUUUAUGCAUUUUCAAUACCAGACACAGCAUUAAAAAAGCCUUACUAACCAUUUAUAUUUGUAUUUGAAGAAUAAUUCAUUAUUUGGAACGCGCUCGCUUCGACCAACUGAUGCGUUCACAAACGCAUAGCAAUUUGGCACAUGGACCAUCACACCCAAGCACACACGUGCUUAUAAUCCAUUGGUUGUUGGUACACCGUUUUAUCCCCACAGGACAUUAGAAAACAAGAAAAAUACGAUAUACAAAGGAGAAAAUGGGCAAGUGGAAAACUUUUUGUCACUCGGGGGUUUCUACGAUACAACUGUACAUAAAUGUCCCAUGAAAAAAUAUAGUAUGUGGCAACUAAAUCGCC